CUUGAAAGAAUGCAGCAUACUGCCUUGCUCCAACGACUUUUUAAAAGAGGCAGGACCAUCUGCCUAUAGAUGGCACCACUCAAAUUGGCCUCAAUGUGCACCCUCGAAUGAAUCAAGAAAAUUUCCUCAUAGACAUGCCUACCGUCUUAUGAAGGCAUUUCCUCAAUUGAGGCUGCCUCUUCCCAGGUUACCAUAUGCUGCAGAAUCCUAUGUAAUAUACGAUUGAUAAUUAUUUGAGAAGGACAUCCUCCAGGGAAAAGAUGGCUGGAGUUAGCGCAACAGAGUUAGUAAAGGUAGAUUGAGUGGUCAACAAGGUGGCAGGAGCAGCCUGUCUUUACUGCACCAGCUCUGGAGUUACAGAUACACA
rnacentral:lncRNA from 1 species